rnacentral:rRNA from 1 species
UACCCAGCGAUGGGAUGCGAAUCUCGAAAGCCUGUCUCAGUUCGGAUUGGAGGCUGAAACCCGCCUCCAUGAAGUUGGAUUCGCUAGUAAUCGCGCAUCAGCCAUGGCGCGGUGAAUACGUUCCCGGGCCUUGUACACACCGCCCGUCAAGCCAUGGAAGCUGGGGGUGCCUGAAGUUCGUGACCGGAAGGAGCGACCUAGGGCAAAACCGGUGACUGGGGCUAAGUCGUAACAAGGUACC